rnacentral:rRNA from 1 species
UUUUUCCUACGGGGCGCAGCAGUGGGGGAUAUUGGACAAUGGGGGAAACCCUGAUCCAGCGAUGCCGCGUGAGGGAAGAAGGUUUUCGGAUUGUAAACCUCUGUGGAGGGGGACGAUAAUGACAGUACCCCUUUAGGAAGCCACGGCUAACUACGUGCCAGCAGCCGCGGUAAUACGUAGGGGGCAAGCGUUAUCCGGAUUUACUGGGUGUAAAGGGAGCGUAGACGGUGCAGCAAGUCUGAUGUGAAAGGUCGGGGCCCAACCCCGGGACUGCAUUGGAAACUGUUGAACUGGAGUACAGGAGG